CCCCUUCUAAGAAGGAUCAUGUAUC
rnacentral:misc_RNA from 1 species